UUUUGUCUUUUCCAGCAUGUUACAUAGUUGGAAUCAUACCGUACGUAGCCCUUUCAGAUUGUCUUUGCCUAUUUUUAAACGUUACCUUUUCUCUUCUGUCCUGUUUUUCCACCCCUUAGAUAUUAUAAGACACAAUCUGUUUUUAAAAAAAUAAACCCCUGCAUUUUCUGAGGAAAUAUUUCAAUGAAAGUUGCUUUAUUUGGAACUUAACAUUUUACAAAUGAGGACACUGAAACCAAAGAAGUUAAAAAACUUUUCCAAAUUUACAUAGCUAGUAAUUGCCAAAGCUGAGAUUUGAAUCCAGUGAGUCUGGUUCCAGAAUCAUGUUCAGGCAAUACUUGUUACUGCUUCCCAAUAACAAAAAAUAAGGCAAUUAUUAAAAAUAACCCAGAAUGUGAACACAAAAGAAUCCCUCUCCCCUACGACCCGAAGAUAAAUAAGGUGUAUUAAAGGCACACGCAUGUGUGCACUGAUGUGUGUGUACACAGGCACACACACAAAUGAUAAAUAAAUGUGACUAAUUAUCCACAAAGAAAUAUGCUUCACAACCAUUCUUCCAUACUAGAGAUAUCUGAUUGCUUUUUGCCUGAAUACCUACAUUCAUGCAGCAUCUAUAGGUCUGAUGCCUUUUUCCUUGCUGAUUGGCCACUUUCAGAAGAAACUUAAAAACCACGGCACUCACUUUGAGCCUCCUACAUGCCCAGUGGGCUGGGAACUACAGGCAGGAUGAACUGUCCGCAAUCUUCUUCAUUGCUUGUUUUUCUUCAUAUAACCCGUUAGGUUCUAAAUGAGUAUAUAUUUCACUUGACAAAAAAUCUCUGUUUCUCCCCAACUCCAGUAUGAGCACCAAAGGGCAGGAAUUUCUGUGUCUUAUUCACUAAUCAUCCCCAGAACCUAGAACAAAUGCCUGGCCCAUAAUAGGUACUCAAUAAAUAUUUGUUGAAAGAAUGAAUUUGAUAUUAGUACUGCUUAACACUUAACAAACAUUAUUACUAAACAUACUUUAUUUCUUAUGAUGAGCUAAAUGGCAUGACGGGCUAGAACAGUUUACGGUAACACUACUUUUAUAAGUUAUUCUAAGGCAAGUGCUCUGUGU
rnacentral:lncRNA from 1 species